rnacentral:rRNA from 1 species
AGUGAACGCUGGCGGUAGGCCUAACACAUGCAAGUCGAACGGCAGCACAGUAAGAGCUUGCUCUUACGGGUGGCGAGUGGCGGACGGGUGAGGAAUACAUCGGAAUCUACUUUUUCGUGGGGGAUAACGUAGGGAAACUUACGCUAAUACCGCAUACGACCUACGGGUGAAAGCAGGGGAUCUUCGGACCUUGCGCGAUUGAAUGAGCCGAUGUCGGAUUAGCUAGUUGGCGGGGUAAAGGCCCACCAAGGCGACGAUCCGUAGCUGGUCUGAGAGGAUGAUCAGCCACACUGGUACUGAGACACGGUCCAGACUCCUACGGGAGGCAGCAGUGGGGAAUAUUGGACAAUAGGCGCAAGCCUGAUCCAGCCAUACCGCGUGGGUGAAGAAGGCCUUCGGGUUGUAAAGCCCUUUUGUUGGGAAAGAAAAGCAGCAGGUUAAUACCCCGCUGUUCUGACGGUACCCAAAGAAUAAGCACCGGCUAACUUCGUG